UGCCGGGUCGUCUAAUGGUAGGACAACCGAAUUUGACUCGGUCAAUGCUGGUUCGAUUCCAGCCCCGGCAUCCA
rnacentral:tRNA from 1 species